UGCAAGUCGAGCGGAAACGAGUUAACUGACCCUUCGGGUGACGUUAACGGCGUCGAGCGGCGGACGGGUGAGUAAUGCCUGGGAAAUUGCCCUGAUGUGGGGGAUAACCAUUGGAAACGAUGGCUAAUACCGCAUAAUGCCUUCGGGCCAAAGAGGGGGACCUUCGGGCCUCUCGCGUCAGGAUAUGCCCAGGUGGGAUUAGCUAGUUGGUGAGGUAAUGGCUCACCAAGGCGACGAUCCCUAGCUGGUCUGAGAGGAUGAUCAGCCACACUGGAACUGAGACACGGUCCAGACUCCUACGGGAGGCAGCAGUGGGGAAUAUUGCACAAUGGGCGCAAGCCUGAUGCAGCCAUGCCGCGUGUGUGAAGAAGGCCUUCGGGUUGUAAAGCACUUUCAGCAGUGAGGAAGGCGGGUACGUUAAUAGCGUGCUCGUUUGACGUUAGCUGCAGAAGAAGCACCGGCUAACUCCGUGCCAGCAGCCGCGGUAAUACGGAGGGUGCGAGCGUUAAUCGGAAUUACUGGGCGUAAAGCGCAUGCAGGUGGUUCGUUAAGUCAGAUGUGAAAGCCCGGGGCUCAACCUCGGAACUGCAUUUGAAACUGGCGGACUAGAGUACUGUAGAGGGGGGUAGAAUUUCAGGUGUAGCGGUGAAAUGCGUAGAGAUCUGAAGGAAUACCGGUGGCGAAGGCGGCCCCCUGGACAGAUACUGACACUCAGAUGCGAAAGCGUGGGGAGCAAACAGGAUUAGAUACCCUGGUAGUCCACGCCGUAAACGAUGUCUACUUGGAGGUUGUGGCCUUGAGCCGUGGCUUUCGGAGCUAACGCGUUAAGUAGACCGCCUGGGGAGUACGGUCGCAAGAUUAAAACUCAAAUGAAUUGACGGGGGCCCGCACAAGCGGUGGAGCAUGUGGUUUAAUUCGAUGCAACGCGAAGAACCUUACCUACUCUUGACAUCCAGAGAAGCCAGCGGAGACGCAGGUGUGCCUUCGGGAACUCUGAGACAGGUGCUGCAUGGCUGUCGUCAGCUCGUGUUGUGAAAUGUUGGGUUAAGUCCCGCAACGAGCGCAACCCUUAUCCUUGUUUGCCAGCGAGUAAUGUCGGGAACUCCAGGGAGACUGCCGGUGAUAAACCGGAGAAAGG
rnacentral:rRNA from 1 species